GUGGGGAAUAUUGGGCAAUGGGGGAAACCCUGACCCAGCAACGCCGCGUGAAGGAAGAAGGCUUUCGGGUUGUAAACUUCUUUUACCAGGGAAAAACACAAUGAUGGUACCUGGAGAAAAAGCUACGGCUAACUACGUGCCAGCAGCCGCGGUAAUACGUAGGUGGCAAGCGUUGUCCGGAAUUACUGGGUGUAAAGGGCGUGUAGGCGGCACUACAAGUCAGGGGUGAAAACUAUGGGCUUAACCCAUAGCCUGCCUUUGAAACUGUAGUCCUUGAGUGCUGGAGAGGCAAUUGGAAUUCCUAGUGUAGCGGUGAAAUGCGUAGAUAUUAGGAGGAACACCGAUGGCGUAGGCAAUCCCCUGGGCCUGCACUGACGCUCAUGCACGAAAGCGUGGGGAGCAAACAGGAUUAGAAACCCUGGUAGUCC
rnacentral:rRNA from 1 species